rnacentral:rRNA from 1 species
GAUGAACGCUAGCGGCAGGCUUAAUACAUGCAAGUCGAGGGGGAUUAACUGGGUAGCAAUACGCGGUUAUGAGACCGGCAAACGGGUGCGGAACACGUACGCAACCUUCCCAAAACUGGUGAAUAGCCCUCCGAAAGGAGGAUUAAUACACCGUAACUUAAUGAAGUGGCAUCACUUUAUUAAUAUAGCUCCGGCAGUUU